ensembl:snoRNA small nucleolar RNA SNORA2/SNORA34 family
AUAGCCCUGACUCAAGGCCAGAAGUUUUUUGAAGCUGUUGGUUUCAAGCAGGAACCUAAAGUGGUAUCUGUCUAUGGCCUUUUGACCAUUUCAGAAGUAUAGAAAUGUAAUGGCCAAUUCAUUAGAACAAAACACCC